ACGAACGCUGGCGGCGUGCCUAACACAUGCAAGUCGAGCGGACGAAUCGAAAGCUUGCUUUUGAUUCGUUAGCGGCGGACGGGUGAGUAACACGUGGGCAACCUGCCCUGUAGACGGGGAUAACACCGAGAAAUCGGUGCUAAUACCGGAUAACACGAAAUGUCGCAUGACGUUUCGUUGAAAGACGGCGCAAGCUGUCGCUACAGGAUGGGCCCGCGGCGCAUUAGCUAGUUGGUGAGGUAACGGCUCACCAAGGCGACGAUGCGUAGCCGACCUGAGAGGGUGAUCGGCCACACUGGGACUGAGACACGGCCCAGACUCCUACGGGAGGCAGCAGUAAGGAAUCUUCCGCAAUGGACGAAAGUCUGACGGAGCAACGCCGCGUGAGCGAAGAAGGCCUUCGGGUCGUAAAGCUCUGUUGUUAGGGAAGAACAAGUAACGCAGUAACUGGCGUUACCGUGACGGUACCUAACGAGAAAGCCACGGCUAACUACGUG
rnacentral:rRNA from 1 species